CUCUGCUCCACCCCUGUCUAGGGUCUCAGCCAGGAAGACUUGAAAGUUUGAAGCAACUCAGCAUCCGGGGGCUGGAAUUAUCUGGAGUAAUCUUCACUCACAUAGCUGUUACCACACCAAGUUCGUUUUUGCCUGCGGCCUGGAAAGCCAAACACCGAGACGACAAGACUGCAGCAGAGAGAGGGUUUACUCACAAGGCAGUCUGUGAGAAAGUGAGAGCUGCAUCCAGCAUAUUUGAGCUACCACUUUCCUAGAGGAAAUCCUGCCUCUGACUCCUGGCCACCAUAUGUGAUGCUACAGUGAACAUCCUCAGACUUGGUCCCUUAGGAACCUGUAAGAACUUUUGUGGGACAGAUCAUCAAAGGCAGAAAUCCUGGGUCUGUGAUAUGCAUAGAGUUAAUUUGCCUAAGUCAUUCUGGAUUGCUCUUCACGAUGGUCAAGCAAAAAAGUGCAUGCUGGACUUUUGUUU
rnacentral:lncRNA from 1 species